rnacentral:rRNA from 1 species
AGUGAACGCUGGCGGUAGGCCUAACACAUGCAAGUCGAACGGCAGCACAGUAAGAGCUUGCUCUUACGGGUGGCGAGUGGCGGACGGGUGAGGAAUACAUCGGAAUCUACUUUUUCGUGGGGGAUAACGUAGGGAAAAUUACGCCAAUACCGCAUACGACCUACGGGUGAAAGCAGGGACUCUUCGGACCUUGCGCGAUUGCAUGAGCCGAUGUCGGAUUAGCUAGUUGGCGGGGUAAAGGCCCACCAAGGCGACGAUCCGUAGCUGGUCUGAGAGGAUGAUCAGCCACACUGGAACUGAGACACGGUCCAGACUCCUACGGGAGGCAGCAGUGGGGAAUAUUGGACAAUGGGCGCAAGCCUGAUCCAGCCAUACCGCGUGGGUGAAGAAGGCCUUCGGGUUGUAAAGCCCUUUUGUUGGGAAAGAAAAGCAGCAGGUUAAUACCCCGCUGUUCUGACGGUACCCAAAGAAUAAGCACCGGCUAACUUCGUG